rnacentral:rRNA from 1 species
GACGGAGGAUGCAAGUGUUAUCCGGAAUCACUGGGCGUAAAGCGUCUGUAGGUGGUUUAACAAGUCUACUGUUAAAGCUUGAAGCUUAACUUCAAAAAUGCCGUAGAAACUUUUAAACUUGAGUAUGGUAGGGGUAGAGGGAAUUUCCAGUGGAGCGGUGAAAUGCGUAGAUCUUGGAAAGACCACCAAUGGCGAAGGCACUCUACUGGGCCAUAACUGACACUAAGAGACGAAAGCUAGGGGAGCAAAUGGG